rnacentral:rRNA from 1 species
ACAGACCUGAGUGCGGCAGGACCACCCGCCAAACUUAAGCAUAUUACUCAGCGGAGGAAAAGAAAACAACCGUGAUUCCCUCAGUCAGCGGCGAGCGAACAGGGACACAACUCGCUGCCGAAUCGCGCCUCAAGGGCGCCGACCUGUGGCACGCAACGCGGCGCACGGCUGGCAGCGGCGCGGCGCAAUUCAAGCGCAAAGCAAACGCGUUGCUGGCCACACCCCUUCAUGUGAGUAUUGAGCCAGGGAAGGUGAGAGCCCACUGCACCGCCGCCCCCCGCCGCCACCGCGCGCCGCCCACCGAGUAGCACUGCUUGGGAGUGCAGUGUCAAGCGGCAGGUAUUUGCCUGCCAAGGUUAAACACAGAGCGGGAAGACCGAUAGCGAACAAGUAGCGUGAGCGAAAGUUUGAAAAGCACUUUGGAAAGAGAGUGACAUAGAACCUGAAAUCGCGACAACGACAAUGGAAGCGCCUCCCUCACACCGGCCAGCCCCGCGCCCCCACCUCAUCCUCUGUGCCAGCCACUCCGCGCGGGGCAGCAUCCGCGCGGCAGCGGCACACCCGGGGCGCGGGCGAGCCUGCGGAGCGUGGGGCGCGUCGACACGCGGCGUGCCCGCUCCGCGCCCUCUCGGCGCUGGCGACGGCGACGGGGCGCCCCCACCCGUCUUGAAACACGGACCAAGGAGUCAAACAGACGCGCAAGGGCAGAGGCACGCCUCAGGCCUCUCCGCCCGCACUGAAAGGGAGACGCGCUCCGCGUCCGUGGCGCGCGCACGCGUGCUCAGCGCCGGCCGGCCCCCCGCGGGCUGCGCUCGAGUGUGCCUGUUUGGACCCGAAAGGUGGUGAACUAUGCCUGAACAAGGCGAAGCCCGGGGAAACCCGGGUGGAGGCCUGUAGCGAUGCUGACGUGCAAAUCGCUCGUACGAUUUGGGUAUCGGAGCGAAAGACUCAUCGAACCACCUAGUAGCUGGUUCACGUCGAAGUUUCCCUCAGGAUAGCUGGUGCUCGCCGUGAAGUACUGUGCGGUAAAGCAAAUGAUUAGAGGCAUUGGUGUUCUUGCAGCAUCGACCUAUUCUCAAACUUUAAAUGUGCAGCGCGCGCGCCCUUCGCCCGCCGCAAGGGCGCGCCUCGGCCGAGUUAUUGGGGCACCAAGUGGGCCUUCUUCGGUAAGCGGAGCAGGCGAUGCGGAAUGAACCCGUUAGGGAUAUGUGGCGUCCAAGCUUCCGGGCUCAUUCUCGAUACGUAAAAAGGGUGUUGGUGGAUAGGGACAUGUUGGACGGUGGCCAUGGAAGUCGGCAUCCGCUAAGGAGUGUGUAACAACUCACCAACCGAAUCCACCGGCCCCCAAAAUGGAUGACGCUCAAGCCCGACACGCGAUGGCCCAUUAUUCCUUUGGAGGGGCGGAGGCGCGGGAACGCGCGGCCCCUCCAAUGUAGACGUGGCGUGGGGGUCAGGCCGAAGCCGAUGGCGCGAGCCGCGGUGCACCGGCCCCCAGUGCAGAUCUUGGUUGGCGUAGCAAUGAUCCAACGGCACGCACACGCACACAACGUUGGAUGCUGGAGCGGGGAAGGAUUUCGUGCCAACGGCACUCGCACACGAGUUGUUCGGACACUGAGCACAGCGUUACACCGUUUUGUUGGGAAAGCGCGGGUGCGCCGCCGCCGUCCCCCGGGCGCGCGCGCGGCCAUUCCGCGAAGGGGCAACAGAGAACCUGGGAUGACAUUCCGUAAAGAAAUUGCAUGUGGG